rnacentral:rRNA from 1 species
UACGUAGGGUGCGAGCGUUAAUCGGAAUUACUGGGCGUAAAGGGUGCGCAGGCGGUUAUGUAAGUCAGAUGUGAAAUCCCCGGGCUUAACCUGGGAAUUGCGUUUGAAACUACAGAACUAGAGUGUGGCAGAGGGGGGUGGAAUUCCAUGUGUAGCAGUGAAAUGCGUAGAGAUAUGGAGGAACAUCGAUGGCGAAGGCAGCCCCCUGGGUUAACACUGACGCUCAGGCACGAAAGCGUGGGGAGCAAACAGG